rnacentral:lncRNA from 1 species
AUGUUGUGUUCUCUGCUCAGGUUUCCAGAACAUAGAGCUAUCUUCUCGUAUUUUCAGAGGACUUCAGUUUUCAAACGCUGUCUUGUCUGGUCACCAAAACAAUCCUGGAAGUUAAGAAUAUUCAGCAUUCUCUCACAAAGGAAGGAAGAAGGACUCAUAAUGACCAAUUGGCACCUCUCUGACAGGUGGAAAGUUGUUCACCAAGAAAAGCAUAAAGUGAGGAGAAAUGACUGGCCCAGGCUGCCAGGUUCACUCUUCCGUAAUGAAACAGGCAAGUAUAGCCUUGUAUUGUCUGAUGGUGUCCAUCACUUUUCAAGCAAAGGAAACAGACUAUUAUUCUAAAGGCUUCGUUCAGUGUGAAUGACCCUUUUCUUCCUUCCCUGAAUCCUAUACCUAAGGUAGUCUUAUUCUAUUUAAUAACAAUGUCACAAAAAAUUUAGGAUAAGGAAGCUCCAGCCGCUCCCAUGCUACAUGAAACCUCCAACAGAGGAUCAAGCAUCAUGCCAAGGGAAUCCCUGAGAGGUGGAAGAAUUAGCCUCUGCCUCGAUAUUUGCCCAAGCAUCACACCACAACAUUCCUCAAGCUUGUGAGAAUGAAUCCAGGGGACACAGAAGAUGAGGGAGUUGUGGGAACCCUACUUUUUGUUUGAAAAGAAACAUCCAUCCUCUUUCGAAGCCAAGUUAAAGAGGUGAACUAAGAACAUCACUUUUGAAGGCCAGGGGCAUCUUACUUGCCAACUGGAGGUCACUGAACUGUAAAACUUUGAGGCCUUAUCUGGUGCUAUUAUUGGAGAGGAGAGAAGCACAGUGUGGUGAGCAGAAUUUUAAGGUGGCCCAUUGGAAAAGACUCUGAUGCUGGGAAAGACUGAACGCAGGAAAAAAGGGGAUGACUUAGGAUGAGAUGGUUGGACAAUAUUGCCAACUCAAUGGACUUCAGUUUUAGCAAGCUCUGGGAGAUGAAGAAAGACAGGGGAGCCUGGCAUGCUGCAGUCCAUGGGAUCUCAAAGAGUCAGACAUGACCUAGUGAUUGAACAGCAACAGCUGAGCUUCUCAGACCCCAGUGUACACACACCUCCUCCUAGUCUCCAGUGAGCACCAAUCUGAGUCCUGAUGUGAAGGGAUUUUUCAGAUAUAAUAAAGAUCUUAAAUUAGUUUUCAUUAAGACAAGGAGGUUAUCUGAAGCCUGGCCUAAUCACAGCUGAGUUUAAGGGUCAAAGGCAGAGGAAGCCAGAGAUUCAAAGUGUGAGGGAGGCUGGGCACACACAAAGUUCUCCUUUGAUGACUUGAAGAUGGAGGCGGCACAUGCAAAG